UAUUAGAAGAGACCUGAAAGAAAUAGGAUACGAAGACAGCGAAUGGAAGGAUCGCGCUCAGGGACGGGAACAAUGACGGGAUUUGAUAUUUGGGGCAAUGGACUUUCCAGUUCCUAACGCUAACUAAUAAUAACAAUAAUAAUAAUGAUAAUUAAAAUAAUAAUAAUAAUUAAAUUAUAUAAUCUCGCUCUCCUAAAAAGGUUUAUAAGGUAAGACAAUUUUUGUUAAUGCUAAAUCUUGAGAUUGCAUGUAAACUUGAAUUGUCCCAUUGAAUACCGAAUUAACAAAAAUUGUCUUAACUAUUACACCUAAGAAUAAUAUAUAUAAAGACUGUUUAAAUUUACGUAUUAUUUAAACGUCCAAAUGUUUUGUAAUAAACCAUUUUGUUUAUCAAAAUGAUCCAAACGCAAAUAUUAGCGAUAUUUUCUUUUGAAUAUUCCUGUAAGACGCGUGCAAGGUGACUCGUAAUAAUAAUAACGCGUUCGGAAGAAAACGACUUUUGACUUCCCGCGUGUGUUAGCAAAAAAAAAAAGUAAACAUCAAAUACGGCAUCGUUGGUUCUAACGAUAGGUUACAAGAAUAAAGACGUUUUUGUUGGUAUAAGUGAAAAUGUAUUUAGUUAUUUUAAAGUUUUUGAUGUAUAUUUCACAUUUAUUUCUUGAAGUAUUCUUCGCCUUGGCAAUUCUGGGUAGGCUCAAAAUUAGUUCUAAUCUUCGAUGAUCUAGAAAAUAUUCAAAUUCUUUUAAAAAGCUCAAAAACUGAUAAGAAAAGUUUCCUAUAUUACUUUAUUAAUCAUACCUUGGGCGAUGGAUUAUUUACAGCACCAGAUAAAUUAUAAGCUCUCAGAUGGUUUCUUUUUAAUUAAUACAAAACAAUUACCAAAUUCAAAGAAUAAUUAAAUAGCUUAUUGGAAUCUGAUUUAAAUUUGCAAAACAAUCAAGACUGCAGACUAGAUAAAUAUUUGAAUGAUAUGAUGGAUAUAACUAUGGAAAGAUUCUCAAAAUUGUGGUUGUAUCCCAAUAUUAUAUUUAAGAAUUCAUCUUUAGGAAAGUGGUUACAUGAAAAUCUCACAUGCAUAAAUAAUAUAACAAACGAGAUUAUAAAGAAAAAGAAAGAGUCAAUACAGGAAGAGAAAUUUACCCGUGAAGGAAAUGGUCCAUAUGCGAGUAAAUUGACAAAAAUAAUAAAUAUUAUCGUCUGAUAAAUCUCAAGAGUAUCGUUUCAACAGGUUUCAAAGUAAAGGACAUUUUUAAGCCAACAUUUUCAACUGAUACUGGAUUAUCUAUUUAAAACAUUUACUGUUAAAAUAUAUCUGGAAAAAAUCCGUAUGUACUUCUCAAGAUAAUAGUACAUAGAUUAGGAAUUUCUUUUGUUUUUUAUUCUGGGUCUCAUAGUUGUCCAGGUAUAAGUCCGCCCGUUUUAGUAAAAAAAAAAAACAGGGUUUUGUUCAGUCACGAAUACUGACUAUGCCAUUUUCUAUCUAAAAUCAAUAAAAAUAUUUGUGUACAUAGUUCAAUAUAUGAUUAACCAACCCUCAAAAAAGAAAUUCUAUUCCUCAUUUAGUUUUCGCAAAAAAAGUUCCCAAAAAAAGGCUCUAUAGUGGUGUUAUCCCUUAAAUACGCUAUCGAUCUUAAUGAGAGAAAACUCCACUCAGAGAUUAAGAGGAAUAUUCUAGGAGGGCCAUAAUAUCAAAAACAAACUUAAGAAUUAACGAGAUAUAUUGAUGCAACGAAAACCUUUGUACAGUGUUGGUCCCUUUGAGAGGUUUCAGUUUCCUAUGUAAACACAUGUGAUACAAUAGAAAGUCAUGAUAUUCCAAUAUUCUAGACAAAGUUCAUUAUGCAUAGUUUCCACUACCAAAACCAUAGGCUGUACACAUCGGUGGACUAUAGGGGUGGAUCCUUUUGCUAUUGGUCAAUAAGAUUCAUAAUUUCCUUCUCUCUCCAAAGGGGUGUAGCUCAUUUCUGAUAUAAAUAUGUGAAAAGAAGUAAGAGAGCGUCCUUAUAGUCCACUAAUUAUACAAUCAGUCUGUCUGUAUAUAUCCGUCUGUGUAUUAUCUGUUAUAUCAGUCAUUCUGCAAACCAAUCAGUUUAUCAAUCAAUCCGUCAGUCGGUCUUAUAUUUAUUACUCUUUUGUAUUCUGUAUUCUUACAACCACGCCACUUUUUGUAAACAUUUAUAAAUACUGAACUCUGACAGCUCUGAAAAAAAUAUUCUGAGAAACAUGGAAUUAAAUAAAAGUUUAAAGAAAUUUUUAGAAACCUCAAACGUUUUCAACACAGCAAUAUCAAGAACUUUAAGAGAUAAUCUGCAAAGUUAAAAACAUCUGAUAUUAAUAAAUCAUAAUACAAAAAUCAGUAGGCACCAAACCAUUUUGUUUAAAAAAAAAAUAGAUUUAUGCGAAGAAAAAUUUUAAGAAAUUGAGUUUAUAGUUCAUUUGUAAUCUUUCCAUGUAAAAUUAUUAAAAAUUGUCUCUAUGAAAACUUACUA